rnacentral:tRNA from 1 species
UCCCGUGUGGCUCAGUUGGUAGAGCAUGGUGUUUGCAACGCCAGGGUUGUGGUUCGAUUCACACGGGGGAC